GGCUUGGUUUUGCAGGGUUUAGGGUUUAUAACAAAAAUUCUGACGAGGAGAGACAUGGAUAUUGCGCUCUUCUCCCCUUCUUCGCUUUUUGCAGACGAUGAGGGCUGCGAUUCUGAUGGGGAUAAGAUGGAGACCCAGCAGAGCUACGUCGAAAGAAAGCACGAUUUUCCUGGAACGGAAUUGCUGAUCCGAGAAUUUUCUUUUCACCAGCUAAAUGCUAAUUUACUCUGGCCAGGGACAUUUGCAUUUGCAGAAUGGUUAGUUCAGCAUCGGUCCUGGAUAGAAGGACGGCGCAGCUUUGAAUUGGGCAGUGGCACUGGAGCUUUAGCCAUUUUUCUAAGAAAAUCAUUUCAACUUGACAUCACAACUUCAGACUAUAAUGACCAGGAAAUUGAAGAGAAUAUAGCUUAUAACUGCCGGGUGAAUGGAAUUACACCUAUCCUUCCUCAUAUAAAGCAUUCAUGGGGAGACAACUUUCCAAUUGCUGACCCAGAUUGGGACCUGAUUAUUGCAAGUGAUAUCUUAUUGUAUGUGAAACAGUACCCAAACUUGAUAAAGACUCUUUCCUUUCUCCUCAAAUUUUACAAACCAAAAGAUGACUCAGCAAUUCCAAUCAUGGAGAAUGAACACAAAAAUGAAACAUAUGAGGGGCUGCCCCGGCCAGCAUUUUUAAUGAGUUGGAGACGCAGAAUUGGAAAGGAGGAUGAGUCACUCUUCUUUACUGGUUGCAAGAAUGCUGGUCUUGAAGUAAAGCACAUGGGUUCCCGUGUUUUUUGCAUCACGCCUAGAGAAGCAACUGCAAGAACAGCAAUGGAAGAAUUAACCAGUGAUGCCAGCACUUAGCUGUAACACUCAUGACCCUCUUGACUUGUCUGACUUGUUUGAAGUCUGAAUCACCCUUAAGCAAGUGGAUACUUCACAGUUGAAGCCAGUACCCAGUUAAGAAACUCAUACCAACUUGAGUGGAGUCUGAAUCUUCCCUGCAGUUCAUUAACUUUGUCACGGAAUCUCUGACGAUGUCCCCCUCUCAAAGGUCUGAAUCAUCAAGGGGUCGUGGGGGAACCCUAGGCUCCUGAAAUAGCUCUCAAUAUCUUGGGUUCUGUUCAGCUUUCACCUUUGCUUCUCUGGUUCUCAUGCUUUCUUCCCUUCCUUUUUCUUCUUUAAUGUUAUGAAUUGACAAGAUCAUCACUCAUAUCCAAUAGGAUGUGGGGCAAAGCCAAUCUCUGCUGCAAGAGGACAGAGGACCUACCCGCUUUGCAUCCAUACAGAAAUUAUUGCAGUCCUCUAUCAACAUUAUUGUCAGUUGGGUUGUUUUUACUUAUCAGUCCAUCCAAAUUCCAAAGGCCAAUAAACCAACCACAUCUCCAUGGUUUCUGCAUCAGUUAUUGGUAAUGAACUUCUGUCCGGAUUUGCAGGGCUGUUUUUGGAUGUUUGCGCUUUGCAUCAGCCAUAUGGUUGAGAAACCAAAAUAACAUAACAGGUAAGUCACAUUCUAAUUAGGUACGUGCUGUGCAUAUCAACCAUCUCUACCAAUUUCUACUCCCUGCAUUGUUUUCAACUACUAUUUAGGGAUGCAGGCCAUUUUAUACUAGUCAUACUUGAUUUUGAGCCA